AGGUAUUGGAGGCUUCUACAAUAUCAUGUCUUAGAAGAGUUUUGAUUCAUUACCUCAUCUGUUGGAUUAUCGUGCCUAAUUCCAGAAAACAUGGUGUUCAUAAGGAGGUUGCAAAGACAUGCAGGGAUGGAAAGAUGUAAACAGACCUCAAGAUUUAAGCUAUAUAUAUUACCCAAACUUGAUGUGUCUGUCGUUUCUUCUUCCGUCCUUCGAUGUGCUGGGCGUCCCGACGUAUGUCGCCCCUUCGAUCUGUGUGGAUAUGUUGUUGUGUGGAUCUCCCUUCAAUGGGUGUUCUGGCAUCUAUUAUUCCGUGGGUGUUCUGAGGUGUCUGCCCCAACCUUUAUAUUAGUCAAAGGUUGCUGAGUUUGAAUUCUGUACGGAUGACUUUUGCAAUAGUAUACGACCGUAUCCUUGACUAA